CACGAUCACUGGCGAAGGCUCGCGCCAUAUCCUGAAUGGCAAGCUGAUCUUCGUUCAGUUCGAACUGAUUCUGG
rnacentral:tRNA from 1 species